UGGGGAAUCUUGCACAAUGGGCGCAAGCCUGAUGCAGCGACGCCGCGUGGGGGAAGAAGGCCCUCGGGUUGUAAACCCCUUUCGGCAGGGAAGAAGCGAAAGUGACGGUACCUGCAGAAGAAGCCCCGGCCAACUACGUGCCAGCAGCCGCGGUAAGACGUAGGGGGCGAGCGUUGUCCGGAUUUAUUGGGCGUAAAGAGCGCGUAGGCGGCCCGUUAAGUCGGGUGUGAAAAUCCGGGGCUCAACCCCGGACCUGCAUCCGAUACUGGCGGGCUAGAGGCAGACAGGGGAGAGCGGAAUUCCUGGUGUAGCGGUGAAAUGCGCAGAUAUCAGGAGGAACACCGGUGGCGAAGGCGGCUCUCUGGGUCUGUCCUGACGCUCAGGCGCGAAAGCUAGGGGAGCAAACAG
rnacentral:rRNA from 1 species